rnacentral:tRNA from 1 species
AAAAUCCGUCGAUUUUUUCAAUCAUGAGGGGUUCAAGUCCCU